ensembl:snoRNA small nucleolar RNA U3
AAGACUAUACUUUCAGGGAUCAUUUCUAUAGUUUCUAACUUGAGAAAUGUGUUUCUAAAGUGAUCGGUCUCGCUAACCACGAUGAAGAGUCGUGAUAUUCUCCUCUGAGCGUGAAGCGGGAAGGAAGCAGUGUCUGACGUCACUGGCUUCCUUCCAUUGAUGAUCGUUCGUUGUUCUCCUGUAGAGCAAUGAUGAGGAGGAUAUGAUCAGAGUGGUU